UGGUCAAGUUAUUAAGGGUGCAGGGCGGAUGCCUUGGCACUAGGAGCCGAUGAAGGACGUGAUAAGCUGCGAUAAGCUUCGGGGAGUUGCACGUAAACUUUGAUCCGAAGAUUUCCGAAUGAGGAAACUCACUUAGAGUAAUGUCUAAGUAUCAUUAAGUGAAUACAUAGCUUAAUGAGGGGAACUCAGGAACUGAAACAUCUAAGUACCUGAAGGAAGAGAAAGAAAUUCGAUUCCGUAAGUAGCGGCGAGCGAACGCGGAUUAGCCCAAACCAAUAAAGUUUUCUUUAUUGGGGUUGCGGACAUAUCAUAACGAAGAGGUAUCGUAAUUGAAGAGGUUUGGAAAGACCCACCACAGAAGGUAAUAGUCCUGUAUGUUAAACGAAAAGACUUUAGAUAUGAUCCAGAGUACCACGGGACACGUGAAACCCUGUGGGAAGCAGGAGGGACCACCCUCCAAGGCUAAAUACUACCUAGUGACCGAUAGCGUAUAGUACCGUGAGGGAAAGGUGAAAAGAACCCCGGGAGGGGAGUGAAAUAGAACCUGAAACCCUGCACUUACAAGCUGUGGAAGCACAUUUCUUGUGUGACCGCGUACUUUUUGUAGAACGGGCCAACGAGUUACGUUAAGUAGCAAGGUUAAGCACUUAAGGUGCGGAGCCGUAGCGAAAGCGAGUUUUAACUGAGCGUUCAGUUACUUGACGUAGACCCGAAACCGGGCGACCUACCCAUGAGCAGGAUGAAGCGAAAGUAAAAUUUCGUGGAGGUCCGAACCCACGAGCGUUGAAAAGCUCGGGGAUGACUUGUGGGUAGCGGUGAAAUUCCAAUCGAGCCCGGAGAUAGCUGGUUCUCCCCGAAAUAGCUUUAGGGCUAGCCUCAAGGUGAGAGAUACGGAGGUAGAGCACUGAAUGUCCUAGGGGGUAUUGCACCUACCGAAGACUAUCAAACUCCGAAUGCCGUCAUCUUAUACUUGGGAGUCAGACUGUGGGUGAUAAGAUUCAUAGUCGAAAGGGCAACAGCCCAGAUCGUCAGCUAAGGUCCCUAAAUGUAAGUUAAGUGGUAAAGGAUGUGGGAUUGCACAGACAACCAGGAUGUUGGCUUAGAAGCAGCCACUCAUUCAAAGAGUGCGUAAUAGCUCACUGGUCGAGUGAUCCUGCGCCGAAGAUUUCCGGGGCUAAAACUUACUACCGAAGCUACGGCAUCAGUAAUGAUGGUAGGGGAGCUUCCCAUACGGGUUGAAGCAUGACCGUAAGGACAUGUGGACAGUAUGGGAGUGAGAAUGUUGGCAUGAGUAGCGAAAUGUGGGUGGGAAUCCCACAGGCCGUAAACCCAAGGUUUCCAGGGGAAGGUUCGUCCGCCCUGGGUUAGUCGGGACCUAAGCUGAGGCCGAAAGGCGUAGGUGAUGGACAACAGGUUGAUAUUCCUGUACUACCGAUAACCGUUUGAGAGAAGGGAUGACACAGUAGGAUAAGCUAAGCACACUGUUGGUUAUGUGUGCCCAAGCAUUGAGGCAGUCAAAGUAGGCAAAUCCGCUUUGAUAAUGCUGGGAUGUGAUGGGGAGCGAAAUUUAGUAGCGAAGUAGCUGAUUUCACACUGUCAAGAAAAGUCUCUAUCGAGGUUAAAGAUACCCGUACCGCAAACCGACACAGGUGGGUGAGGAGAGUAUCCUAAGGCCAGCGAGAGAACUGUUGUUAAGGAACUCGGCAAAAUGACCCCGUAACUUAGGGAUAAGGGGUGCCACCAUCAGGUGGCCGCAGAGAAUAGGCCCAAGCGACUGUUUACCAAAAACAUAGGUUUCUGCUAAGUCGCAAGACGAUGUAUAGGAGCUGACGCCUGCCCGGUGCUGGAAGGUUAAGGGGAUCUGUUAGAGCAAUCGAAGCAGUGAACUUAAGCCCCAGUAAACGGCGGCCGUAACUAUAACGGUCCUAAGGUAGCGAAAUUCCUUGUCGGGUAAGUUCCGACCCGCACGAAAGGCGUAACGAUUUGGGCACUGUCUCAACAACAGACUCGGUGAAAUUGUAAUUCCGGUGAAGAUGCCGGAUACCUGCGACAGGACGGAAAGACCCCAUGGAGCUUUACUGUAGCUUGACAUUGGGUCUUGGUACUACAUGUACAGGAUAGGUGGGAGGCUUUGAAACCAGGACGCCAGUUUUGGCGGAGCCAUCCUUGGGAUACCACCCUUGUAGUACUGGGACUCUAACCAUAGGCCAUGAAUCUGGUCUUGGGACACUGUCAGGUGGGCAGUUUGACUGGGGCGGUCGCCUCCCAAAAGGUAACGGAGGCGCUCAAAGGUUCUCUCAGUACGGUCGGAAAUCGUACGUAGAGUGUAAAGGCAAAAGAGAGCUUGAUUGCAAGACAUACAGGUCGAGCAAGGAUGAAAAUCGGACUUAGUGAUCCGGUGGUUCUGCGUGGAAGGGCCAUCGCUCAACGGAUAAAAGCUACCCUGGGGAUAACAGGCUUAUCUCCCCCAAGAGUCCACAUCGACGGGGAGGUUUGGCACCUCGAUGUCGGCUCAUCACAUCCUGGGGCUGUAGUAGGUCCCAAGGGUUGGGCUGUUCGCCCAUUAAAGUGGUACGCGAGCUGGGUUCAGAACGUCGUGAGACAGUUCGGUCCCUAUCCGUCGCAGGCGUAGGAAAUUUGAGAAGACCUGUCCUUAGUACGAGAGGACCGGGAUGGACGUACCUCUGGUGUACCAGUUGUCCUGCCAAGGGCAUGGCUGGGUAGCUAUGUGCGGAAUGGAUAAGCGCUGAAAGCAUCUAAGCGCGAAGCCAACUUCAAGAUAAGAUUUCCCACCGCAAGGGUAAGACCCCAGAAAGACUAUCUGGUUGAUAGGUCGAAGGUGUAAGUGCAGCAAUGUAUUUAGCUUAUCGAUACUAAUAGGUCGAGGACUUGACCAAU
rnacentral:rRNA from 1 species